rnacentral:rRNA from 1 species
CCUACGGGAGGCAGCAGUGAGGAAUAUUGGUCAAUGGACGAGAGUCUGAACCAGCCAAGUAGCGUGAAGGAUGACUGCCCUAUGGGUUGUAAACUUCUUUUAUAUGGGAAUAAAAUGUUUCACGUGUGGGAUUUUGUAUGUACCAUAUGAAUAAGGAUCGGCUAACUCCGUGCCAGCAGCCGCGGUAAUACGGAGGAUACGAGCGUUAUCCGGAUUUAUUGGGUUUAAAGGGAGCGUAGUCGGAUUGUGAAGUCAGUUGCGAAAGGUUGCGGCUCAACCGUAGAAUUGCAGUUGAUACUGGCAGGCUUGAGUACAGUAGAGGUGGGCGGAAUGCGUGGUGUAGCGGUGCAAUGCUUAGAUAUCACGAAGAACUCCGAUUGCGAAGGCAGCUCACUGGACUGCAACUGACACUGAGGCUCGAAGGUGUGGGUAUCAAACAGGAUUAGAUACCCUUGUAGUC